rnacentral:rRNA from 1 species
AACGAACGCUGGCGGCAGGCCUAACACAUGCAAGUCGAGCGCCCCGCGAGGGGAGCGGCAGACGGGUGAGUAACGCGUGGGAAUCUUCCCAGUGGUACGGAAUAGCCCAGGGAAACUUGGGGUAAUACGGUAUAAGCCCGCAAGGGGAAAGAUUUAUCGCCAUAGGAUGGGCCCGCGUCGGAUUAGCUUGUUGGUAGGGUAAUGGCCUACCAAGGCAACGAUCCGUAGCUGGUCUUAGAGGAUGAUCAGCCACACUGGGACUGAGACACGGCCCAGACUCCUACGGGAGGCAGCAGUGGGGAAUAUUGGACAAUGGGCGAAAGCCUGAUCCAGCCAUGCCGCGUGAGUGACGAAGGCCUUAGGGUUGUAAAACUCUUUUGGCGGGGACGAUAAUGACGGUACCCGCAGAAUAAGCCCCGGCUAACUUCGUG